rfam:Opisthocomus hoazin contig14258, whole genome shotgun sequence.
AUAAAGGAUGUUCUCGCAUCCACCAUCUAUUACUGUAGUAAUAAGU